rnacentral:RNase_P_RNA from 1 species
CCGGGGAUGGAGGAAAGUCCGGGCUCCACGGGAAUACGGUGCCGGCUAACGGCCGGCGGGGGCGACCCCAGGGACAGUGCCACAGAAAACAAACCGCCCGUGCAAGGCCGUCCUCCGGGACGGACCCCGCGGGAAAGGGCGAAACGGUGCGGCAAGAGCGCACCGCGCUCCUGGCAACAGGGGCGGCAGGGUAAACCCCACCGGGAGCAAGACCGAAUAGGGACGGCCGCGCCUGUCCUUCGGGACAGGGCGCAGGGACAUUCCCGUCCCGCCGUCCGGGUUGGUCGCGUGAGGCGCGCUGCGAGGCGCGUCCCAGAGGAAUGGCCGUCCCGCACCUGAACGGUGCGGACAGAACCCGGCUUACAGGCCGUCUGGCAGC